CUGGGAGCCGGGCUUGCCCGCGAUGCAGGCAACGCGGUGUGUCAGCGGUAUCGCGCUGAUACUAUCGCGGGCAAGCCCGGCUCCCAC
rnacentral:antisense_RNA from 1 species